ACGUAUGGUGCAAGCGUUAUCCGGAUUUACUGGGUGUAAAGGGAGCGCAGGCGGUACGGCAAGUCUGAUGUGAAAACCCGGGGCUCAACCCCGGUACUGCAUUGGAAACUGUCGGACUAGAGUGUCGGAGGGGUAAGUGGAAUUCCUAGUGUAGCGGUGAAAUGCGUAGAUAUUAGGAGGAACACCAGUGGCGAAGGCGGCUUACUGGACGAUUACUGACGCUGAGGCUCGAAAGCGUGGGGAGCAAACAG
rnacentral:rRNA from 1 species